CUAAUUAUAAGAUCAUCAGAUUAAAAGAUUCAUCGUCAAUCUAGAAAAUGAUUCUGAAGGUAUAUUCUUAUACACACACAUACAUAUUAUAUUCGGUCAAGUAGAAUUGCGAUCGCAAAGAUCUCGUGCGUUCUUAGUGAUCCUUUCGUGUUCAAGAUAAUAACGACAAUAACAACUACGACGACGAUGAUGACGACAACGGGGUAGCACCAAGAAUCACGACGACCUGGUAACCCAAAUUUUUCUUCAUCGUUCACCCAUGAAAGAUUUGCAUGCGCUGCCAAACAAAUGUCCAAAAGGAAUAACCAGCCGUGUUGGAUACUCUCGCUAGCGUGACUGGCUUUUUGGUCAAGAUGCUAAUGAGAAGGUGACGACGAUACACCUGCGCAGCUGCAAAAACGACAGGAUUAGACAUAUUCUUGAGCAAGCGCUCUGUUUAUUCUUGAAAAUAAAAUAAUUAUUGUCAGUAGAAUUAUUUUUAGUCUUUAAAAUAACACAAUCUGGUAACAAUUUAAAAAACUUGUUAUUAUUUUCAGUCAUUACGAUCUUUUUAUAUUGUGAACAUAACCAAUAAAAUCUUUUAAAUACCAAA